rnacentral:lncRNA from 1 species
GAGACGCUGCAGAGCCACGGACGGCUCUGAAAGACACAGACCUGACAGAAGCUGGAACACCUGAGAGGCACUGAGAAACUCCACGCACGGACCCGGACAAAGGACUCACGGUGAGACACGGGGAAAAGAAACCGUGGGGAGCGUGGGAAGAGAUCCGCGGGGAAAUGCGGGAAACGGAACUGCGCAGGGACGCGGGAACGAGGUCUCGCAAAGGCUGCAACAGCAUAAAUAAAGGUAUGGAGAGAGAAGCGGCGUAUGAUUUGCUCAAAUGCUUUUUAGAAAAGCGGAGCACGCAGGGUAUAGACUGCAAAAAGGAUUUACCAGGAUUAUUAGAAUAUGGAGUAACAAAGGGUUGUUUUAUCAAUCUGGAUACAGUUUUUGAACAAACAGAGUGGCGUAAAUUUGGGGACAAAUUGUUUGAUGAAGUUAUUAAUGAAAAUAAGGCUGCUAAAAAAUUAUUGAAGCCUUGGAGAGCAGUCACUAAUGCCUUAGCUAUACAUCAGGCUGAGCAGAGAGUCGCUGCUGCUGCUACAGAGCGACUGGGAUUGCCAGGAAGUGCUGGUAGUGUUAACCCUCAACAGGGAGGGAUGGGGGGAGCUGGGGAUUACCCAUUGCCGCCUUCAGUGAGGACGAUAACGCUGCCUCAGGGGGCUAUGGGGCAAUGGGAGCCUCCUCCUCUCUCAUCAUCCUUCUCAGAGUCGGCGUUGGUGCUCUCGCCAUCACCAGCAGCACCACCGGCUCCUUCUCACAAAAGUGGGGAAAUGGAUGAGGAAAUAAGAGAGCAAAAACCAGAAAGAAAAAAUACAAGCCCGUUUAUAGAAGGUGUUCAAGAGAGGCAGAGGGUGUGGAAGCAAAUAGCAGAUGAGGCUCUACACGAGGGUGAACACGGGAUAGCUGCACAAUUGGUUCAAGAGGCCUUCCCGGUAGUAUAUUCACCACCGGACGCCCAGGGUAAUGUUACGGUUAAUCUAGUGAAUUUGGACUGGAAAUUGUUAACUCAGCUGUGGUCCACAGUGAACGACUCAGGUCUGAAAGGUGAACCCACGAGACAGAUGUUGGACUAUAUUUGGGGAACAAAUAUUUUGCUUCCAGGAGACAUACGUAGCAUAAUGAAGUUAAUAUUGACCCAACACCAGCAGCUCUUAUUUAAUGCCCAUUGGCAGGCUGCUUGUCAAGAAGCAGUCGCAGUGAUAAGAGCACCUGGGGACCCUUUACAUGGGGUCACGCUGGAAGAGUUGAUGGGGGUAGGACCGUAUUUUAGGACAGAAGCACAGGCCUCGCGGGGACCUGAUAAAGCGAAGGAAUCGAUGAGAAUGGCCAGAAGAGCAUUGGAUCAGAUAAAGGGGCCAGGGGGAAUACCUUCCUACAUGGGAAUCAAACAGGGUAGAGAGGAACCAUUUGGGCUUUUUAUUGACCGCGUA